rnacentral:rRNA from 1 species
CGCGGCCUAUCAGCUUGUUGGUGAGGUAGUGGCUCACCAAGGCGACGACGGGUAGCCGGCCUGAGAGGGCGACCGGCCACACUGGGACUGAGACACGGCCCAGACUCCUACGGGAGGCAGCAGUGGGGAAUAUUGCACAAUGGGCGAAAGCCUGAUGCAGCGACGCCGCGUGAGGGAUGACGGCCUUCGGGUUGUAAACCUCUUUCAGCAGGGAAGAAGCGAAAGUGACGGUACCUGCAGAAGAAGCGCCGGCUAACUACGUGCCAGCAGCCGCGGUAAUACGUAGGGCGCAAGCGUUGUCCGGAAUUAUUGGGCGUAAAGAGCUCGUAGGCGGCUUGUCACGUCGGGUGUGAAAGCCCGGGGCUUAACCCCGGGUCUGCAUUCGAUACGGGCUAGCUAGAGUGUGGUAGGGGAGAUCGGAAUUCCUGGUGUAGCGGUGAAAUGCGCAGAUAUCAGGAGGAACACCGGUGGCGAAGGCGGAUCUCUGGGCCAUUACUGACGCUGAGGAGCGAAAGCGUGGGGAGCGAACAGGAUUAGAUACCCUGGUAGUCCACGCCGUAAACGGUGGGAACUAGGUGUUGGCGACAUUCCACGUCGUCGGUGCCGCAGCUAACGCAUUAAGUUCCCCGC